UGUCUUUUUUAUGGUUCCGACCAUAGUUCGUGUUAAAAGUUUAAUAAUUACCUUUUUUUCUGACGUGAUGAAAUGCUAAAAAAAAAGGUUUAUGUUUGUCCGUUGCGGUGAUCCGUCCUGAAAUAUAAGUGCGCUUAGACGUGGGGAAAAAAAUACUUCAGCCGGCCGGGUAGCCAGGCCGUUAUAUUUUGUUGGAAUGAUUCCUUCCGUAGGUGAACCUGCGGAGGGAUCAUUACACAACAAAAUAUGAAGGCCUGGCUUUCGCGGCCGGCUGAAGUAUUUUUUUCACCCAUGUCUUUUGCGCACUUGUUGUUUCCUGGGCGGGUUCGCCCGCCACCAGGACCAAACCAUAAACCUUUUUUUCUUAUGCAGUUUCCAUCAGCGUCAGUAAAAACAAUGUAAUUAUUACAACUUUCAACAACGGAUCUCUUGGUUCUGGCAUCGAUGAAGAACGCAGCGAAAUGCGAUACGUAGUGUGAAUUGCAGAAUUCAGUGAAUCAUCGAAUCUUUGAACGCACAUUGCGCCCUUUGGUAUUCCAAAGGGCAUGCCUGUUCGAGCGUCAUUUGUACCUUCAAGCUUUGCUUGGUGUUGGGCGUUUUUUUGUCUCCCUCUUUCUGGGAGACUCGCCUUAAAACGAUUGGCAGCCGGCCUACUGGUUUCGGAGCGCAGCACAUUUUUUGCGCUUUGUAUCAGGAGAAAAGGACGGUACUCCAUCAAGACUCUACAUUUUUCACUUUUGACCUCGGAUCAGGGGAG
rnacentral:rRNA from 1 species